AAGCGGCAGCCACCGCUCGCUGGCCUCGGGAGUCGGGAGCACGGCGGCUUUUCGCUCCGGGCCCCCUCGGGUAAAAUGUCAUUUCCGAAGCCUGCUGCUGCCCGGCUUUCACCUCCGUCCCUCCCCUUCUCCACAGUCCACACUUCACUCCGCCCGCUGCCCCUGCCCGGCUCAUCUCCGUCCCUUCUCCACAAUCCACGCCGCAGUUCACUCCACCCGCUGCCCCAGCUCAUCCUCUUCCACGCCCGCCGCGCCAUGCUACCUCCCGCCGCACGCCGCUGAGGGCCUGUCCGUGUUCUCGCAUUGGGGAAAAGGCAGCAGGCCGGACACAGCGCGGUGGGAUUCCGCGUCCCGCCGCGACCGCUCUCACCAGGAUGGCGGCGGAGCUCACGAGCGCCACCACCAUCGACUCCCUCCCUGUUGAGAUGCUCACCGAGGUCCUGCUCCGCGUCUCGACGCCGGCCGACCUCGUCCACGCCGCGGCCGCCUCGAGGAGCUGGCGCGGCGCCAUCGCCACCCCCUCGUUCCUCGCCCGCUACCGCAAGCGCCACAAGUCCUCGACCUUCCUGGGCCUCUACGUCCCGCGCCAGUUCGCCGGCCCCCCCUCGUUCCUCAUGCCGGAUUCGAUCCGCUUGGGCGACGACGACGCCGGCAACAUCAAGAGUGCCGCACUCAGGGCCUUCGACUUCGGAGAGAUCCGCAGGUAUCAGGAUCAUCGCCUCCACGACGCCGUAGACGAUGCCGAAUUCAUCCUCGGCCGUCUUGGGGUGCAUCCGGAUUGCCGCCUCCUCGACUGCCACAACAGCCGCCUCCUGCUCACCAGAGGCGACGAGGCUCUGGAGGUGCGCAGCCCGUUGGCCCGCGAGAGCAUCCUGCUACCCUUUCCGCCUGGUGUCGUCCACCAUUGUUUGAAAGCGUGCUUGCUGCAAGGCCAUGACAAAGCGGCGGCGUCGUUCCGAGUGGUCUGCUUGCAGCACCGUCGCGAGGGCCGCAACCGGCAGGCUCGCGCUGUCGAGUACGACUCCAGAAGGAAGAGCUGGCAGGAUCACCCCUGGGAGACUCUCAAAAGCAACAUUGAGGGGACGCCAAAAGAGGUGAUGCAAGCCGGACACCGGAUAUUUUGCAAAUACAGGGGUCUGGCGUUGGCAGCACUCUUGCUGGACACAAGCAACAUGCAGUUUUCCGUUCUUCCCCUUCCAAAUCACCAAAACUUCGUUAUAGGGGAGAUAGAGGACAAUGUGUGUUGUUUUGUCGAAGCUGUUGGCUGCGUAAACCAUAGACUUAGAGUGUGGCAGCUGGACGAGGAGAAGUUGCACUGGGAUCUCAAGAAGGAUAUCAAAAUGGAUCAGGUGCUUGGUGAGCAUGUUGGGUACUAUAGCCCCCGCGCGAUCAGUAAUGGGAUAGUUCUUGUGUGCUCGAGAACCACGCACCAUCAUUUUGUUGUCGACCUGAAGACCUGCAGCAUGAAGGAGGAGUUCGAGUUCCAUGGCCAGUCUGCUUAUCCUAUGCAAAUGCCAUGGCCACCUGUCUUUUCUGAUCCUACACCUAAUGCUGCAGGAGGAUUUGCCCGGGAUGGAGGGCCAAUGUCUGUGGGUGACGCCAGGACAGGGGUUGGGUUGUCCGACGAUGGUGGGCUUGCCAAGCUGUCUGUGGGCGACGCCGACGCUGGCGCCAAGACAGGGGGGGCUAGGGAGUCGGACGAGAUCGAUGAUCCUAGCCCUGGUCUGUCUGUGGUCGGCUGCGUCGUCACCGACCCUUUGCCGGAGGUGAAGAAGGCGUGGCUCCUGCACUCGUCUUCCAUUGCCUGCUUUGUGCUAGGCAGCUCCACUGCCCCUCCAGCACUAAUGGCUUCGACGACGGCGAGCUCGCCAAACUGUCCACAUCAAGUGGAAGUUACUCUUGUGCAGUCUCAGUUAAAGAGUGCAGAGUGUCAGCCAGUUGGUAGAAAAUAUCAUAUCCUUGAAGAAGAUACAAGGCAUUCUAGAUGGGAGGAAUUCAGGAAGUUUGCUAGCGGAGAUAAUGCUACUGAGGAAUGUUCAAAUCUCUUGAAGAGAAUGGAGUUGGAAGCAUCUGACAAUAAAGAUGAAAUAGAUAUGAAGGAUGAAGCUGGUUUGAUUCACAGUAGCGAGGCUGAAGAACUGGAAGAGAAGGAAGUUGUAGUGGCAAAGAAUCAAAAAACGAAGACUAGUUGGGGCCCUAUUCAGAGAAUCCCAAGACCAAGGAGAGUGCUUGAUGAUGGGAAGACUGAGCUGCAGAGAGCUCAGGAACUGAAGAAAGUUAUAAAUUUGGAGAAAGGUAGGGGCCCUAUUCAGAGAAUCCCAAGACCAAGGAGAGUGCUUGAUGAUGGGAAGACUGUGCUGCAGAGAGCUCAGGAACUGAAGAAAGUUAGAAAUUUGGAGAAAGGGGUCGCAAAUGGAUGGGAGUCACGGAUAUAGUAUUGUUCAAGAUUGCCAAGAUGUUAAGAAGGUGGGUGCCAAUGAUGAAACAAGAGAUGGGGGAAGGUAUAGUGGGGAUGGUUGCCCAGCUGGAGCUAAAAGCAUCAUCACCGCCUCAGCUGAUGUGGCACAGCCUAGGGAGUAGUUUGUCAUCAAGGUUUGGGCCAUUGGAUGUUCAGCCUUUGGCUCCCAGCACUGCAAUUUCAGAUCUGCAUGAAGGAGUUGAUAUCCCUAGACAGGAGCUACUAGCUGUUAUAAACUAUUUGGGUUAUCUGAAUGCUUGCCAUUAGGCAUGUUUAUUUUGUAAGGCGGGUGCGCCUGUAUGCAGGAACUAAAACGCUGUGUUUGCUUUUUGAAAUACAAAAGCAGGGGAAACUCCUUUUCUAAAAAAAAAAUUAUUCACAAGUGGGUGCAGUCUAUAAGAUAACAGUGCAUGCACAACUGUAUGCAGAAAAACAAAAUAUGAAGAAACUUCAGGGCACAAUAAUGACAAAGAGCAGAUUUGCAUAGCACAACAGAAAUGUAGAACAGGACCACUGGGAAAGCAUCACAUGUUAUCAAACAUCUCACAUGCAAAAGGUUGGGAAAACAUCAAAUUUUGAUGCAUUCUAAAAGAACCGCUAUUUUUAAAUAUUUUCCCUUGCUGAAAAGCACACAGUGGGGGGUUUUUUGGAGGACAAGUUACACAGGAAGUUACAAUUAACAGCUAAUAUUCAUAGCUAUUAACAUGUGGUUCAGUAGCAGUAGGUGGUGAGUUUUUGAUGCAGCCUGCCACCCUUAGAUCUUCAGCGGCUUGUAAAAUCCUGCCAAUUUACCACACUAAGUGCAGGGACUUGGUUUGCGACCUGAACUAUGUAAAACUAUCCUGUUUUGCAAUGCAAAUGCGUCUCAAAUGGCGGAUGAGUUAUGUUUGUCUGUUAGGAUAGACAAGCUGCCUUGCUAUUUUGAUUUUCAUACAAAAAUAGUAGGCCUCUGAUGUUUCACUUGACCUGCAGUUGCUAAAACAUUCAUCAAUGUCCUAACAUUACCUGACGAAAUAGAUGGCCAAUAGAACAGUAUGCUCAAGUCGAUCUCAUAUUUUAGCUUAACUGACACCUCUAAUCUCAUCUACUACCUUGCUAUUUUGAUUUUCAUACAAAAAUAGUAGGCCUCUGAUGUUUCACUUGACCUGCAGUUGCUAAAACAUUCAUCAAUGUCCUAACAUUACCUGACGAAAUAGACGGCCAAUAGAACAGUAUGCUCAAGUCAUAUUUUAGCUUAACUGACACCUCUAAUCUCAUCUACUAGAACAGAGACCUUGUACUAAUAAUUCAUUUGCGUGGUUAUUAUCUCAGAUUGUGUUAGCUAUGCAGCAGUGCUGCUAUUACAAGAUGGUGAACAACAAUGCACCAGAUCCUAUUCUCUUUUUUUUUCUUUGUUCCCAUGUUAUACCAAACCUCUCUUUUUUCCCAGCCAUAUUAUGCACGUGCCUACAUGUACAAGGGACCAUACAAGGGACCAAUUGUUAUUAGUUUUUUGUUUAUGUAUUUUCAUGUUCAGAUACAGCAUCUCAUCAUCUGGAAAGAAGUCAUUGAUUAGGCUGGGACAGGGUGCUAGAUGUCACUCUAAAAGUAAUGGUAAUAUUAAUAAAAAAUGGGCUGACCUGUUUAAGGAGUGGGUGAAUAAAUUUGGUUUGGUCGAACUUAAGAAUUCUGCAAGAGUCUUCACUUGGACCAACAAUCAGGAGUUGCCUAUUAUGGCUGCUCUGGACAAGAUUCUGUGUACUACUUUUGAGCAAAAGUUUCCUUUAUCUUUUGUAUCCACUAGAGCUAGAGCAACUGAUCAUGUCCCACUUCUUUUGAAUUUGGGGAUUAAGGAGGUUAAGAAACCUGGGCUCUUUAGAUUUGAGAAAUGGUGGUUAGAACAACCGGAUUUCAAAGAGUUGGUUGCUAAAACUUUGGCUACCCCUUGUGCUUUUACUGAUGUGUUAGAUGUAUGGCAAUUUAAGAUUAGAUUGCUAAGGAAAAAAAUGAAAGGUUGGGCUAUUAGUGUUAAUGCUAGUUUAAAAAAGACUAAGAAAGAGCUCCUUGAGUUCCAAAAACUGGAUUGCCAAUCAGAAAAAAUUGGUUGCUCGUUUUUGUUUAGCAAAUAAGAGACAUGGAGUUACAAAUGCAUCUUCUUCUGCUGUCAUAUGGUCUAUUUGGAAAUUUCGAUACGAAUUGUGUUUUUAGGGGUCGCAAAUGGAUGGGAGUCACGGAUAUAGUAUUGUUCAAGAUUGCCAAGAUGUUAAGAAGGUGGGUGCCAAUGAUGAAACAAGAGAUGGGGGAAGGUAUAGUGGGGAUGGUUGCCCAGCUGGAGCUAAAAGCAUCAUCACCGCCUCAGCUGAUGUGGCACAGCCUAGGGAGUAGUUUGUCAUCAAGGUUUGGGCCAUUGGAUGUUCAGCCUUUGGCUCCCAGCACUGCAAUUUCAGAUCUGCAUGAAGGAGUUGAUAUCCCUGGACAGGAGCUACUAGCUGUUAGAAACUAUUUGGGUUAUCUGAAUGCUUGCCAUUAGGCAUGUUUAUUUUGUAAGGCGGGUGCGCCUGUAUGCAGGAACUAAAACGCUGUGUUUGCUUUUUGAAAUACAAAAGCAGGGGAAACUCCUUUUCUAAAAAAAAAUUAUUCACAAGUGGGUGCCGUGUGAUGUGGGGCCGACAAUACAGCCGCCGACCUCGAGCACGAGGUGCUGUGCAUGGCCUGCAGCAGCUUAAUGAGGACAGGGUGGCUGAAGCUUAAGGCCUCACGAGGACCAAGAAAGAAGAGGAAGAGCUUAGCAGCCAACUAAUUACGGCUGGCAUUAGUAUCAAGGAGACAGACUCCUUUAGCAUUAAGUAGCAGCCGGCUGUAAUUGCCUGGCAGUAGAAUCAAGGAGCCUGGCUCCUAUUUAUGUAAUCGACAAACCAUCGUAUGAGGCAAGCAAGAACCAAGUUAUCCCUAGUCUCAUCUCUGCUGUCUUCAAUCUCACCUUGUGCUGGGCGUCCAGGGGAGAACCCUGGCGCCACCAUUACCCACCUGCAGCUACGAGUUGAGAAGUCAGGGACCUGCCACUCGGGGACCUGAGGUCCUUGACAUGCAGUCUAUAAGAUAACAGUGCAUGCACAACUGUAUGCAGAAAAACAAAAUAUGAAGAAACUUCAGGGCACAAUAAUGACAAAGAGCAGAUUUGCAUAGCACAACAGAAAUGUAGAACAGGACCACUGGGAAAGCAUCACAUGUUAUCAAACAUCUCACAUGCAAAAGGUUGGGAAAACAUCAAAUUUUGAUGCAUUCUAAAAGAACCGCUAUUCUUAAAUAUUUUCCCUUGCUGAAAAGCACACAGUGGGGGGUUUUUUGGAGGACAAGUUACACAGGAAGUUACAAUUAACAGCUAAUAUUCAUAGCUAUUAACAUGUGGUUCAGUAGCAGUAGGUGGUGAGUUUUUGGUGCAGCCUGCCACCCUUAGAUCUUCAGCGGCUUGUAAAAUCCUGCCAAUUUACCACACUAAGUGCAGGGACUUGGUUUGCGACCUGAACUAUGUAAAACUAUCCUGUUUUGCAAUGCAAAUGCGUCUCAAAUGGCGGAUGAGUUAUGUUUGUCUGUUAGGAUAGACAAGCUGCCUUGCUAUUUUGAUUUUCAUACAAAAAUAGUAGGCCUCUGAUGUUUCACUUGACCUGCAGUUGCUAAAACAUUCAUCAAUGUCCUAACAUUACCUGACGAAAUAGAUGGCCAAUAGAACAGUAUGCUCAAGUCGAUCUCAUAUUUUAGCUUAACUGACACCUCUAAUCUCAUCUACUACCUUGCUAUUUUGAUUUUCAUACAAAAAUAGUAGGCCUCUGAUGUUUCACUUGACCUGCAGUUGCUAAAACAUUCAUCAAUGUCCUAACAUUACCUGACGAAAUAGACGGCCAAUAGAACAGUAUGCUCAAGUCAUAUUUUAGCUUAACUGACACCUCUAAUCUCAUCUACUAGAACAGAGACCUUGUACUAAUAAUUCAUUUGCGUGGUUAUUAUCUCAGAUUGUGUUAGCUAUGCAGCAGUGCUGCUAUUACAAGAUGGUGAACAACAAUGCACCAGAUCCUAUUCUCUUUUUUUUUCUUUGUUCCCAUGUUAUACCAAACCUCUCUUUUUUCCCAGCCAUAUUAUGCACGUGCCUACAUGUACAAGGGACCAUACAAGGGACCAAUUGUUAGUUUUUUGUUUAUGUAUUUUCAUGUUCAGAUACAGCAUCUCAUCAUCUGGAAAGAAGUCAUUGAUUAGGCUGGGACAGGGUGCUAGAUGUCACUCUAAAUACUGCGUAAAACAUCCUGAGGUAAACUCGAGCAAUGUU